GAUGAACGCUGGCGGCGUGCCUAAUACAUGCAAGUCGAGCGGACGGACGGUAAGCUUGUGCCCCUGCUGUUAGCGGCGGACGGGCGAGUAACACGUGGAUCACCUUCCUCUAUUACUGGGGGAAUUUCGUAAAACCGGAUAUGAUACUAGAUAAUAUUUUGUACCGCUGAGUUCAAAAGAUCUUCACGGUUUUCGCGUUACUUUGAGCUGGUUUCGUGCUGCAUUAGCUAGUUGGUAAGGUAACGGCUUACCAAGGCUACGAUGCGUAGCCGAUCUGAGAGGGUGAUCGGCCACACUGGAACUGAGACACGGUCCAGACUCCUACGGGAGGCAGCAGUAGGGAAUCUUCGGCAAUGGGCGAAAGCCUGAUGGAGCAAUGCCGCGUGAGUGAUGAAGGUCUUCGGGUCGUAAAGCUCUGUUGUUGGGGAAGAAAAGCUGUGUAUGUAACCGUGGACAUCUUGACGGUACCUAAUCAGAAAGCAACGGCUAACUACGUG
rnacentral:rRNA from 1 species